GCUUACACAUGCAAGUUGACGGGGCACUUAAGUUUACUUGAGUGCUUAGUAGCGGACGGGUGAGUAACGCGUGAGCAACCAACCUUUGUGAGGGGGACAACAGCUGGAAACGGCUGCUAAUACCGCAUAAGACCACAGCCUCGAUUGGGGCAGGGGUAAAAGAAAUUCGCACAAAGACGGGCUCGCGUCCCAUUAGCUAGUUGGUGAGGUAACGGCUCACCAAGGCAACGAUGGGUAGCCGACCUGAGAGGGUGAUCGGCCACACUGGAACUGAGACACGGUCCAGACUCCUACGGGAGGCAGCAGUGGGGAAUAUUGGGCAAUGGGCGCAAGCCUGACCCAGCAACGCCGCGUGAGGGAAGACUGUCUUCGGAUUGUAAACCUCUGUCCUUGGGGACGAAAAAAAUGACGGUACCCAAGGAGGAAGCUCCGGCUAACUACGUGCCAGCAGCCGCGGUAAUACGUAGGGAGCGAGCGUUGUCCGGAAUUACUGGGCGUAAAGGGUGCGUAGGCGGAUAUUUAAGUGGGAUGUGAAAACCCCGGGCUCAACCUGGGGACUGCAUUUCAAACUGGAUAUCUAGAGUGCAGGAGAGGAAAGCGGAAUUCCUAGUGUAGCGGUGAAAUGCGUAGAGAUUAGGAAGAACACCAGUGGCGAAGGCGGCUUUCUGGACUGUAACUGACGCUGAGGCACGAAAGCGUGGGUAGCAAACAGGAUUAGAUACCCUGGUAGUCCACGCCGU
rnacentral:rRNA from 1 species